AUGGCGGCAAUCUCCUUGUUGAUAGGAAUCCGGGCCACCCUGGACUUCGUCUCUCUCUGAGUUCUGAUUUUUUUGUGUAAAGCGUUCGAUUAUGGCGGUGCUGUGGUGAGAGAUCAAGGGUGGAAGCUGAAGUUGGCGGUGCGGCGAAGCUACAAUGUUGUUCGAGGUGGUGUUGAUUGUUGAGUUUCAAUUAGUCACAAUGCAGUGGCGGACGCGGUCGGCAGUUGUCUUUUCCGUGUACGAGCUGUGCGGUGUGGUGGUGGAUUGCAUUGCGAUGCUGAAAUCGACGGUGCUCUAGAGUGGCAAAGAAGCUGUUGUGGUUGGAGCGAGGAUUCUCUUGUACGCCAAUGACUGAGACUACUAGAGCAUUCGGUAGCAGCAAACAAGUACUACUAUGCUUUAUCGGUGGUGCCAACGACUGUUCAAAUUGGUGGUGUUGUGCUGCUCGACGUUGGCGAGGUUGUUGACAGUCCGUGCUCCGUUCCUUCGCGCUUUGGUUCCUGUCGCAAACAACGGUGUUAUUGUGUUUUUCCUAGCUUCUCUUCAAUUGGCAAACUCUAGUUGCGUGCAACAAUUUUCUUCCCUCUAAUCUCUAGUUGUGGACUUGGUUCUGUGAUCUAGUUUCGUCGUUUUCCUGUUGGUUCCCUUCUUGACAUUCGGCGUUCUUCUUGUGAAGACUUGUAGGAGUCAGUUAGCAUUGUAAUAAUAAGUUUCUGGUUUUGGUUGGACUUUGAGUUUAGCCUCUUGCAUUCGCGAGGGAAUUGUAAUCCACAGGUAGGAGUGAAAAUUUCAAGGACAAAUAGAAGACUAUCACUCUGGCUAAAAGUAGCCAUUGGGCUUGAUGAAAUAUCUUUAAUUAUGAAUAGCGCGGAUGCAAGCAAGGCAUUAUGUUUUGUGAGCAGUAAGGGUGUUGUUACGACUGCUGGAGAUAAAGUGUGGUUUCUUCCAUCAGUGGAUAAUCAGAAGCGUUGACAAUCCAUGAUUGCGACUUAUUUCCAUCGAUAGUGGAAUUUGACGAGAAGAUCCUGUUACUGUUUAUCAACAUUCACAACCUUCUUCUUGCAGCCUAGUGGAAGCGCAGAGGAGCCUUCAGUAUCGGCGCUGCCGAGCAAAUUGAAGUUUUAGUACAAGUGUUGUGCUUGCGAUGUAGACAAGAAAUCCUUGGCAUUAGGUGAAGUAUGAAGGAUUCUGGACAUAGUGGUGGCCUCGUCAUUGAGAUCUAGAGGUUGCAUUUGGCUGCUUGUGCAGUUGAGACUUGUCUUCUUCAACUCGAUAUUAUUGGGCAGCUGAUUAUCCAAGAUUCGGUGAGCUCCCAGCGGAGCCACAAUAAGGCUCAAUUCCAAGGGAAUUAGAGCUGUCAAACGCUUCCUCGCACGCACGUUGUUGCGAUAUUGGGAUGUGUCACCUUUGCAUGAAGGGAGGAUCAAAGCUACGAAGUAGUGGUCCUGAUACUAUACUGGCAAGGCGUUUAGUUGGAUCCUUGGAGGUUUAUAGGCUCAAGGGGAUUGCGUUAUUGCAGAGCCGGACUACUACGAGAGGAAAGCAUCGAAAGUAACAAAGAUUUCAAGCUAGGAGCAACCACAAGAGGCAUGCUUACAUAAAAGUAAGACUGGAUAAUUCUAACUGUGGACGAGGUUAGAAGCUAGAUGAGCGCAGGAUAGGUUUGAAUUAGGUUAAAUCGGAUGAAAUGUGUAUGGAUGAAAAAAUUAAUGAAUUAGAUGAAUGUUAAAACCGAA